GACGAACGCUGGCGGCGUGCUUAACACAUGCAAGUCGAACGGAAAGGCCCUGCUUUUGUGGGGUGCUCGAGUGGCGAACGGGUGAGUAACACGUGAGUAACCUGCCCUUGACUUUGGGAUAACUUCAGGAAACUGGGGCUAAUACCGGAUAGGAGCUCCUGCUGCAUGGUGGGGGUUGGAAAGUUUCGGCGGUUGGGGAUGGACUCGCGGCUUAUCAGCUUGUUGGUGGGGUAGUGGCUUACCAAGGCUUUGACGGGUAGCCGGCCUGAGAGGGUGACCGGCCACAUUGGGACUGCGAUACGGCCCAGACUCCUACGGGGGGCAGCAGUGGGGAAUAUUGCACAAUGGGCGGGAGCCUGAUGCAGCAACGCCGCGUGCGGGAUGACGGCCUUCGGGUUGUAAACCGCUUUCGCCUGUGACGAAGCGUGAGUGACGGUAAUGGGUAAAGAAGCACCGGCUAACUACGUG
rnacentral:rRNA from 1 species